rfam:Phytophthora infestans T30-4 supercont1.4 genomic scaffold, whole genome shotgun sequence.
UCUCCUAUAGCUCAGUUGGUAGAGCGUGCGGCUGUUAAUCUCAAGGUCGCUGGUUCAAACCCAGCUGGGAGAG